UAGGAAACAGUUAUUUCAUUGUCUGACCGGCGUCAGGAGCUGCUCGUAGAUCGGCGCGGCCUCCGAGAGAGGCAAACGGCGGGCCUGAUUGGCGUGGUGGUUGACCAUUGUAUUUGGGAUUAUGGUGAGGUAUAGGUUGGUUCUGUGUUGGUGAGGAGGUCGAAGAAAUUAAUUGAGAGAAUCAUGGCCAUAGGAUUGACUAUUGAGAAACCGGGUAACCUGUGAAACCUGAAGGAAGAGUCUGUUCCGACAAAGUAAAAUUCAUGGAUCGGAGUAAAAGGAGUAGAGAGAGUGAGACUUUUGGAAGAGAAGAGUGGGAGCUUGCUGGCGAAGCAGAUUGGAUUAGAUAAAUCUCAAAUACGAUCGACAAACAGACGCACUCUUUCUCAGACCCCCAAUUUUUGUGUCUAUUCGCAGCAGCAGCUAGCCGAGUUAUUUGAUAAAAGAAGACAUGAAUUUGGAGCAUGCUAGUUCCGGAGACGGAAGAUUGAACAUACUAGGUUGAAGGUUUCUAAUGCAGCAACAACAAUCUUUUGCAGGAAGUGAUGGUGUAUUUUCUUGGGAUGCAACUUCUGAUCUUAAGUGCGUCUUUUCGAUUUAGUUUAUACAAUGAAUUGAUAUUUUCUGCUGUUUCUGUGAUGGAGAGUUUUUAUGAGUUAUGACCAACAUUCUUUCUGUUUAUCUUUUGUUGCAGACUUGGACUCCUAAAGACUUGUUAAACAAGCUUUUAGUAUGAAUUCUUUUAGUUCUUAUCAUCAACUUGAUCAUUCUGUAUUUUACUUGCAGGUAUCUAACCUGGAAAUAUCCUUUAUUUUCAGUGUCUGAUGUGAAGGACAAGUACAAGCUUGUGGGACGAGUCAAGGAGAAGACCCCUUUCGCAAACCCAAACCGGGGUUGUGGCAUAUGUUGGAACAACACUUCAACUCUGGCAUUUCCAUUGGUAUGAAACAAUCUUUUUAUGUUGGUGAUGCUGCUGGAAGAAGCAAUGAUCACAGUGAUGCUGUCUUAAGUUUGCAGAGUUCUGUUGUCAGAGUUUUGGACUAACUGAUCACCUGUCAGAAUUUAAUUGAAAAAUGCUUCAAGUGGGUUCUCAUCAUAUGUGCUGAUUGGGAAUUACUUUAUUAUUCUCAGCCUCUUAUAAAUUUAAGAAGCUUCUAUGCUUACAGUUUUUUCUUUUGCAGGCCAAUGGUUUAAAGUUUUAUGUCCCAGAGGAUUUCUUUGAAGCUUGAGGAACUUUACGGUCAUCAAAAUAUCAAAUCGUACUAGGAAAUUCAGUGUCACGUUGGUAUUCAACAUGGUUCUUUUCUAGCAGGUGAUUUUGAUAUAGACAGCCCCCUUUGUAAAGGAAAUUGUGUAUUGGCUAUUAAGCCCCCUUUUCAAGCUCUUGCCAGUAGGUUAGUUAUCUUUGCAGUGUGUCUAGGAAUUUCACAUAUGUUUUUGAAUACAUAACUCUUAGGAUAAUGAAUAAAAUCGGGAUGUUGAAGGGUUUUCCCUCU